UAGUAACUGCGAGUGAAGCGGGAAGAGCUCACAUUUUGAAUCGGCGGUCCCGUCGACCGUCCGAGUUGUAAUCUGGAGAAGCGUUUUCCGCGCUGGACCGUGUACAAGUCUCCUGGAAGGGAGCGUCGUAGAGGGUGAGAAUCCCGUCUCUGACACGGACGACCAGGGCUUCUGUGAUGCGCUCUCGACGAGUCGAGUUGUUUGGGAAUGCAGCUCCAAACGGGUGGUAAACUCCAUCUAAAGCUAAAUACGGGCGAGAGACCGAUAGCGAACAAGUACCGCGAGGGAAAGAUGAAAAGCACUUUGGAAAGAGAGUGAAACAGUACGUGAAAUUGCUGAAAGGGAAACGCUCGACGUCAGUCGCGUCGACCCCGGGGGUCAACCUUGCGAACCCAAACCGUUUGCUCGGCGUACUUCCCGGUCGACGGGUCAGCAUCGGUUUCGGCCGCCACACGAGGGCGAGGGGAAGGUGGCACUCUCCGGAGUGUGUUAUAGCCCCCCGUCGGACGUGGCAGCGGGGACCGAGGAAUCCAGCGCCUCCGCGCGCUCGGGAUGCUGGCAUAAUGGCCUCGAGCGACCCGUCUUGAAACACGGACCAAGGAGUCUAACAUGCCUGCGAGUGUUCGGGUGGCAAACCCGCGCGCGCAACGAAAGUGAAGGUCGAGACCUCCUCCCCCGGAGGGCAUCGACGCCCGGACCAGAGUCUCCGACGACGGAUCUGCGGUGGAGCACGCAUGUUGGGACCCGAAAGAUGGUGAACUAUGCCUGAAGAGGGCGAAGCCAGAGGAAACUCUGGUGGAGGCUCGCAGCGAUUCUGACGUGCAAAUCGAUCGUCGCAUUUGGGCAUAGGGG
rnacentral:rRNA from 1 species